rnacentral:rRNA from 1 species
GAUGAACGCUAGCGGGAGGCCUAACACAUGCAAGCCGAGCGGUAGAGAUUCUUCGGAAUCUUGAGAGCGGCGUACGGGUGCGGAACACGUGUGCAACCUGCCUUUAUCAGGGGGAUAGCCUUUCGAAAGGAAGAUUAAUACCCCAUAAUAUAUUUGAUGGCAUCAUUAGAUAUUGAAAGCUUUGGCGGAUAGAGAUGGGCACGCGCAAGAUUAGAUAGUUGGUGAGGUAACGGCUCACCAAGUCGAUGAUCUUUAGGGGGCCUGAGAGGGUGAUCCCCCACACUGGUACUGAGACACGGACCAGACUCCUACGGGAGGAAGCAGUGAGGAAUAUUGGACAAUGGGUUAGCGCCUGAUCCAGCCAUCCCGCGUGAAGGACGACGGCCCUAUGGGUUGUAAACUUCUUUUGUACAGGGAUAAACCUACUCUCGUGAGAGUAGCUGAAGGUACUGUACGAAUAAGCACCGGCUAACUCCGUG